UGCAGUCGACGAUGAUGCCCAGCUUGCUGGGUGGAUUAGUGGCGAACGGGUGAGUAACACGUGAGUAACCUGCCCCUGACUCUGGGAUAAGCGUUGGAAACGACGUCUAAUACUGGAUAUGACUACCGGCCGCAUGGUCUGGUGGUGGAAAGAUUUUUUGGUUGGGGAUGGACUCGCGGCCUAUCAGCUUGUUGGUGAGGUAAUGGCUCACCAAGGCGACGACGGGUAGCCGGCCUGAGAGGGUGACCGGCCACACUGGGACUGAGACACGGCCCAGACUCCUACGGGAGGCAGCAGUGGGGAAUAUUGCACAAUGGGCGAAAGCCUGAUGCAGCAACGCCGCGUGAGGGAUGACGGCCUUCGGGUUGUAAACCUCUUUUAGUAGGGAAGAAGCGAAAGUGACGGUACCUGCAGAAAAAGCACCGGCUAACUACGUGCCAGCAGCCGCGGUAAUACGUAGGGUGCAAGCGUUGUCCGGAAUUAUUGGGCGUAAAGAGCUCGUAGGCGGUUUGUCGCGUCUGCUGUGAAAUCCCGAGGCUCAACCUCGGGCUUGCAGUGGGUACGGGCAGACUAGAGUGCGGUAGGGGAGAUUGGAAUUCCUGGUGUAGCGGUGGAAUGCGCAGAUAUCAGGAGGAACACCGAUGGCGAAGGCAGAUCUCUGGGCCGUAACUGACGCUGAGGAGCGAAAGCAUGGGGAGCGAACAGGAUUAGAUACCCUGGUAGUCCAUGCCGUAAACGUUGGGCGCUAGAUGUAGGGACCUUUCCACGGUUUCUGUGUCGUAGCUAACGCAUUAAGCGCCCCGCCUGGGGAGUACGGCCGCAAGGCUAAAACUCAAAGGAAUUGACGGGGGGCCCGCACAAGCGGCGGAGCAUGCGGAUUAAUUCGAUGCAACGCG
rnacentral:rRNA from 1 species